rnacentral:rRNA from 1 species
AACGCGAAGAACCUUACCAAGGCUUGACAUGGAGACGACCGGUGUAGAGAUACACCUUCCCUUCGGGGCGGCUCACACAGGUGGUGCAUGGUUGUCGUCAGCUCGUGUCGUGAGAUGUUGGGUUAAGUCCCGCAACGAGCGCAACCCUUAUGUUUAGUAGCCAGCGGUUCGGCCGGGCACACUAGAGAGACUGCCGUGGAUAACACGGAGGAAGGCGGGGACGACGUCAAAUCAUCACGCCCCUUAUGUCCUGGGCUACACACGUACUACAAUGACGGUCAUACAGAGCGAAGCAAUAUGGCAACAUGGAGCAAAUCGCUAAAAGCCGUCUCAGUUCGGAUCGCAGGCUGCAACUCGCCUGCAUGAAGUCGGAAUUGCUAGUAAUCGCGGAUCAGCAUGCCGCGGUGAAUACGUUCCCGGGUCUUGUACACACCG